UUUAUUUAAAUACAAAAGCAACCCCAAUGCAUAAAGAUGGAAAAUUCGAAUUUUCUAUGGUAUGUGGCUGCUCUGGUUUUACAUAUGAUUACGUUGAUCUUAUUAAACGGUGCUUUAGAUUCACAUGGUCUUUACUGUUUCAGUACAUGCUUGCUUUACAAGCACUGAACACGGCCACAUACCAGUCAGAAUUAGUUUGUAUGAACAUUUUUAAAGUUACUUUGAAAGUAACUCUUACCUUGCGGAUAAAGUAACUCAUUUCCAACUUUCACGACUAAAAAAGAUUUAGCUAUUUUAAAACUUACAAAUUAACUUUUUAAGCUUAGCCAAACAUGUUCAUGGUCUCUUUUCCUUUCCCUUCUCCUUUCCUCCAUGAUUUUCUUGACAAAAAAGGGGGAUAGUGUAUAAUAUUUCACAAUUCUAAAUAUCGGUACAUCUUUUGGUUUAACAUUAUGUGUGCAUUCUUCAAUCUAAACUCUGCUCCUGGUUGUUCUUUGAUUCAGGAGAGACAUGCUACUCCAUGAACGCCCUUCGACCAAGGUCCAUGCUGCACCUGGUGGUGGCUCUUCCUUGGGUUACUUAUUUGGUGAUGGCAGCAAAUGAUGCCCUUAUUCUUGAAAGUGGUUUGAUUGCUUCAACGAAUGCUUAGAAUGUUUGGUCUGUGUGGUUGCUUUAUUGAAUUUUGUUACUGGGUGUAAUCAUCAAAAAAACAAGCAAGACAAGUAUUAAGUGCUAUAUGUAUUAACUGAAUCGAAGUCUCAAUCUUUCAUGUUUUUAUCUCUGUUUCA